rnacentral:rRNA from 1 species
UGGGGAAUUUUGGACAAUGGGCGAAAGCCUGAUCCAGCAAUGCCGCGUGUGUGAAGAAGGCCUUCGGGUUGUAAAGCACUUUUGUCCGGAAAGAAAUCCUUGGCUCUAAUACAGUCGGGGGAUGACGGUACCGGAAGAAUAAGCACCGGCUAACUACGUGCCAGCAGCCGCGGUAAUACGUAGGGUGCAAGCGUUAAUCGGAAUUACUGGGCGUAAAGCGUGCGCAGGCGGUUUGCUAAGACCGAUGUGAAAUCCCCGGGCUCAACCUGGGAACUGCAUUGGUGACUGGCAGGCUAGAGUAUGGCAGAGGGGGGUAGAAUUCCACGUGUAGCAGUGAAAUGCGUAGAGAUGUGGAGGAAUACCGAUGGCGAAGGCAGCCCCCUGGGCCAAUACUGACGCUCAUGCACGAAAAGCGUGGGGGAGC